UAUCGAUGGGCAUUGGUUUGAGGAUUUAGAGAGGCGUUGGAGCCGGUUAUGGAACUUCGGAGCAAGGUAAACCUCAUGUCUAAGAAUCAGACAAAACCGAGCUUGGAUGGAACUAAACAAGAUUUGGCGAACGAAUACAAAGUUUUCUUGAGGAGGAAUUUACCCCGUAGGAUUAAAAUUGUUAUGUGCUACUACUUGUGGGUGCUACGUACGUACGAGGUGACGAGAGUUCGUACAAAGCUAAAAGCAUGUUUAUGUACGGGUAGAAUUAGGAUUUUAUCAUGUAAUAUUUGGAUUAUUUGAACUCAUUUUGCUAGCUUAAUUAAGUGAAUCUAUAAUUGAAAUUGAUUUGGAAAUAUAUUAGGCUGAUCUUUAUCACCAUGAGUUGUUUGGCGAGAUAUUUGAUAAACGGUAAAAGUCAUGUUUACUUUAUGCUCAUGUACCUGUGUUAUAAGCACGUGACUCGUAAUUCGAUAAGUUUCUUCCUUUCCUGUGGAUCAGAUCGAACGCCUCAACAGUAUAUUGAGAUACAUCUAUGGUUCGCGUUGGUCGACCCUCAACAGUCUACACAUCACUUUGGAUCGGGCUGUAUGACAUCAGCAUAAUCGUGUGUGAUACCGCCAGCAGUUCGGAUAUUCAUGAGAUUUACCUUUUUGUUGAGACCUAGCAUUUAUAUGGAUUUGACAGGUUCAUUUGGUGGUCAUCUUGGCGCGUAGGCGCAACAGCUAAGGGGACCUUAUGGUACGCUACAUACUGUGCUACCCACCGCAGCACACAAAGUCUUCAUCUUAUUUACUUACUUUAUCCUGUUUAUUUUAUAUUCCAGACAGAUGUUGUAUUAUUGUUUCACUCUUUAGUAAACGCUCAAGUACUUGUGACACCGGGUUUUGGGAUAGUCUAGUUGAUGUUACGGAA